rnacentral:piRNA from 1 species
UGUAUUGGUGACUGUUGAUUUGUUGGACAAUU